UACGUAGGGGGCUAGCGUUGUCCGGACUUACUGGGCGUAAAGCGCGCGCAGGCGGUCGUGUAUGUGCCGUGUGAAAGCGCCGGGCUACUCCCGGCGAGGUCAUGGUAGACAGCACGACUUGAGCCUCGGAGAGGUCGGUGGAAUUCCGGGUGGAGCGGUGAAAUGCGCAGAUAUCAGGAGGAACACCGGUGGCGAAGGCGGCUC
rnacentral:rRNA from 1 species